rnacentral:rRNA from 1 species
CCUACGGGGGGCAGCAGUGAGGAAUAUUGGUCAAUGGACGAGAGUCUGAACCAGCCAAGUAGCGUGAAUGAUGACUGCCCUAUGGGUUGUAAACUUCUUUUAUAUGGGAAUAAAAUGUUCCACGUGUGGGAUUUUGUAUGUACCAUAUGAAUAAGGAUCGGCUAACUCCGUGCCAGCAGCCGCGGUAAUACGGAGGAUCCGAGCGUUAUCCGGAUUUAUUGGGUUUAAAGGGAGCGUAGGUGGAUUGUUAAGUCAGUUGUGAAAGUUUGCGGCUCAACCGUAAAAUUGCAGUUGAAACUGGCAGUCUUGAGUACAGUAGAGGUGGGCGGAAUUCGUGGUGUAGCGGUGAAAUGCUUAGAUAUCACGAAGAACUCCGAUUGCGAAGGCAGUUCACUGGACUGCAACUGACACUGAGGCUCGAAAGUGUGGGUAUCAAACAGGAUUAGAUACCCGAGUAGUC